GGGUUAGUGGCGAAAUGAUAUCGUGUCGGUCUCCAGAACCGAAGUUGGGGGUUUGAUUCCCUCCUAGCCCA
rnacentral:tRNA from 1 species